UAAAAAUGGCUGGGUUAUUUUUUAACCCAAAAUGCUGGGUUGAGUCUGUUGGGUUGUUUUGCUGGGUUAUUUUUUAACAUUUUAAACACUUUUUGGGUAGUUUCAGUUUUCUGGUUGUUGGGUUAAAACUGCUGGGUUAUUAUGCUGGGUUGUUUGAAGAGGCUCACGUGCUUCGCGCCUUUGAUGUUUGAAUGUGCUCAGCAACGGUCGUUGUGAAAGGACAGAGUCACUGGAAGAAGUUGUUUCAAGGUAAGUUUAUAUGUUUUUGUAAACAUUUCAUGAAUAUAAACAAAAUUAUAACAUUUUGCGAGACACCAACGUGUUAAUUUAUACAGACUAAGACGACGGGUGUAAUUUAGAGGAAUGACGACUGUUACCUCAGAUCGCCAUUUACACAAAUUGACUUGAAUAAUCGUUCUAAGAUGUUUAAUAUGGCAUAUUAAUAAAAUUAAUAAAAUCGAUGUUACAAAAUCCCCAUCACACGGUUGAUUUAUUAACUCAUGACAAUUUCUGUAAGCCUUUAACAAAGCGAGUCAAAACCGGUACCGAGUCGACCUCCGCAACCCCACUUCGGCUUGUUGGGUCACACACGCGCAUAGUUUUCCCAGCUUAGCAAUAGCGACACUAUUAAAUUAAAUUUGAUGACAAACGAGUUGCUUUCUUGUCAUUCGAUAUGGAAAGACAGACCGCGAGGCGCGAGCACAAGUUAACUUAACCGGCGGCGGAGAAUUGCGGAGCUGGCGUCUACUCUGUCACUGAGAGGCAGGGACAAGCAGCACUUUCAAUUCACCGUCUGUACGGCAGGUAACUCGUCGAUAAAUGAAAACGAAACAGCGUUUCCAAGAACCGGUGUCUAAUAUGUAUAUUGCUUGGUCCUCUCUUUUAAAAUGAAACAAUAAUUUAAGUGUUUGGACAUGAACUUGAAAACAUAAACGUAUUUGUCACCAAGACGGAGGCUGCGUGUACCGUUUAACAAACAUUUAUAUGUGUUAUAUGAAUGAAGAUGUGUUAUUGAGUCGUAUUUAGUUACUAUUUUAUAUUAAUUUAAUAAUAUUCUUGGGUUGUCUCCUGUGAUUUCAAGUUUAUAUUGACCAACCCUCUGAUCUGUGGCUGACUACUGUAUCAGAGAUGUUAUGUUUUUUGCAGAGAUCAGAUGUGAUGUUUUCCCAUUCUUUUUUUUAGAGUGUGCAGAGUUUUUACGUCCAUCCAUUGAUGAGGCUAGCAAGGCCUUCAUACAGCCAAUUGCAACAAAUGUGGUGGAAGUUCUUCUCUGGACAGAAUCCUCAAAAUCCUUUCCUUUAUUUCCUGGCCAUGGGAAACAUGCAACAGAUCUCUCAAUCUUUUUUCUCAAUCAGUUUCUCUGAUGGAGCCAAUACGGAAGUGACUUAAACUGCAAUUCGGCCAAGAUGGCGACGGCACGCACCGCCUACUUUAGGCUUCAAAAAUGCUCUUCACAAACCAGUGGGUGACGUCACGGACACUACUUUCAUAUUUUUUUACAGUCUAUGGUUUAAAGGCAUUUUACGUGCUUGAAAAUAAAUACCCAGGCAAUGUGCAUCUACUGUAGUCUGUCAUUUUCCAAAUGGAUAAAUCCUCUGCUGUUCGGUUCCUUUGUACAUCUUUGUUCGUGAGGAGUAACUUUAAUAAAUGAAGUAUUUUUAGUCAAAUACAUUCCAUACUCUGAAACUUGGAACAUCUGGUCUAUAAAAAACUUAAUUUAACAAUUACAUUGUUUAUUUUCUUACACUGCUGCAGAUUUGUUUAUGUACAUUUCAGUAUUUCAUUUAUAUAUUGUAUAUACUUAUAUACAAAUUCUGUCUUAAAUUCAAACAAAUUGAUUUAACCUGUUACAUUGUUACUUCAAUGUGCAUAAUUUCUGAUAUUUAAUAAAUAUAUUUAUACUUGAUGUCAGUAAGCAGCAGUCCUUUAAAUGAUUUUGCAACUGCCAACUGUAAAAAUUUAAGAGUUUGUAGUUAUUUUGAAGUCAAAUAAACAUUUAUUUGGUGUU